GUGACUUGCCCAGAGUCACACAGUUAAAAUGGGUGUUAUAUGUCUGAGACCAGAACUGCAAUGAUUUAUUCUAAAAAAGCAUUAUAAAAGAUGUCAUCAGAGACAUUUAUCCAAAAAAGAAGAAGGCCUCACAUAGCAAGAAUGAAAGACAAGGAGCACCCCUUUUGGUACCACUGAGAUAUUUAACAACAAAGUAGAAGAAGGCCUUGAACACUUUGGAUGGAAACUCCAUGGAUGAUUUAUGAAAACAUUUGGAAAGAAUCAUGCAGGUUAAGAAGAUAUGAAGUGACUUCAAUCUAUGUAAGUGGAAGGAAUACCCAAGAACAUGAAACUAUAGAUCCGUCAAGGUAUGUAAGAGAUCUGGAUGGACAAGAGCUCUGAACUUGGAGUCAGGAGAGCUGUGACUGACUUUGUGCCUUCAGACAAGUGACUUCAUCUCUCUCUGGGUCACAGUUUCCACUUCUCUGUAAGAUAAGCAUGUCUGGGAUUCCAUGACCUUCUGUGAUGUUCUGCUUUAAAACUCUCAGAGAGGACACCAUCCUGUGAUGUAGGGUGAAAGGAAAUGGAAGAUCAAUUUACAGAGAGACAGCAGGGAGAGGGGUUGCCCCACACAUGCUACAUUGGCUGCUGUGAUUUAAAGUAGGAAUUCCUGAGAAUGUCAGCUCCUACAGCACGUUUCCUGGGAGCCGAUAGCAAAGGUGGCCUUUGAGAUGGACUAGCAUUUAUAUUCUCCAAGGGACAAGCAAAAAGGGAAUGAUUCAAGUUCUAGAAAACGUGUAAGAAGUUAAUGGAAUGUUCAUAUCCUUUGAGAGAUCUACUGGUAGGAAUAUAACCCAGGAUUAGUGACAGCAGGAAAAAGACUGUGUGUAUAUAUAAUAAAAGCAGCAUUGUUUAUAGUAACAAAAAACUAGAAACAAAAGUUUGUUCUUUACUAUUGGGGAAUGCCUAAACAAAUUAAGAUAUAAAUGUAAGGGGAGUAGUACUGAAUGGUAAGGAACAAUAAAUAUGAAAAAUUCAGAAAAACACAGAAGGCUUGAAGUGAUAUUAAGCGAAGAAAGCAGAGCCAAAAGAACAAUAUACAAAAUGAUUGCCACAAUGUAUGUAAAGUCAACAUGGAGAGGCAACAAAACUCUGGUUUAAAUAUAGAGUUCACUGUUAGUACCAUACUAUCAAAAUUAAAAGACAAAACUUCUGUUAAUAAGCAAUGGACUGUUUUUCAUGGUUCUUUGGGUGUUUAUUGGUUAGUAUCUGUUGUGUCAAAGCAAAAUGUAUCCAAUUUUUAAAAGAAAUAUAUUAGCACAAUUGUAAAAUUACAGUGACCAAGACUGGCUCCCUGCUUUGCAAAGAUGAGUGGUCUUGGGGUGGAACACUACAUAUGUUAGACUUUUUCUAUGUGCUAUUUAUUAGUUUUGCUCAAGUUUUUUUUUCCCCUCUUUUUUUAUUCUUUGUUAUAAGAGAUGGCUGUAUGGCAGGGGAAGUGGGAAGAAAACAUUUGGAAAUGUAAAACAAAAUGUAAAAACAAAAAAUAGCAAUAAAAACAUAACUUUAAAAUUUUAGUUCCUAGAAAAGCCAAGUCAAGAACUUUUAUAGAACCAAAUAAGAAGCCUACCGGAAGUUAUGUUUAGGGCUGAAGCUAGGAUCAUAGGCCUGAAAAGCCAAAAUGGAGUCUGGACAUUAUCUAAUCUGGUUCCCUCAUUUUACAGGUGAUAAAACUGAGACUCAGAAAGAUAAAGUGUCUUAUACACUAUCACCCAGGCAACAUAACAAACAUAUCAGGAGCUCCUGGUGUCAUGUCAAAGAUCAAUUAUCUUGUCCACAAGGUGAUCUCUAUUUCCCAAGAGGCCAAGACAGAUUAUAAACCUUCUAUUCACAGAACUACAAAAAAGUGGUUUUUAGGCUAUGCAGUCUAUCUCCUUGGAC